rnacentral:rRNA from 1 species
UACGUAGGGGGCAAGCGUUGUCCGGAUUUAUUGGGCGUAAAGAGCGUGUAGGCGGCCAUACAGGUCCGUUGUGAAAACUGGAGGCUUAACCUCCAGACGUCGAUGGAAACCGUAUGGCUAGAGUCCGGAAGAGGAGAGUGGAAUUCCUGGUGUAGCGGUGAAAUGCGCAGAUAUCAGGAAGAACACCGAUGGCGAAGGCAGUUCUCUGGGACGGUACUGACGCUGAGACGCGAAAGCGUGGGGAGCGAACAGG